AACAUGGGCUAUUUAAGAAGUAUUCCUUUAAUUUGUGUAUGCAUUCUAGUCAGAGACGUACAGGCAAGUUCUCCACACAUCCAGAACAAGAGGCCAUUGCCUGCAUUUCUGCACCACUACUGCCUUCUCAGUUUCAUUCGCUGCUUCUUCCUUGGCCAGGCGAAAAACCAGUGAGAGAAAAAACAACCCUUGGCAUGCAAACUGGGCACAGUCACAACCCUUGCUUGAAGCCAUCCUAGUCAAAGUUUACCAUUGGUUUUUGUUCCACAUACCACAGACUAAGAAAAUCCUAGACUUUGAAGUUCUGCUGCCAUGAAAACCUCAAGAUUCCUCAUUCAUGGCUUCAGCAAAUGCUUUGGCCUCAUUGUCCUUUUUACUUUGGGCAUUGUUUGGGGUUCAGACAUGACAACAGGGAAACCUACUACUGCCAAACAUCUCUCAGUCAUUGUCACUCCUACAUCUGCCACAGCUGAACAAAAGAAAGAUGGAAACAUCACACCCGGUCCAGAGAAGCAUUCAGAUGUCUCAUUGGCAUCUCCCACAGGAUCCAAGCCACUGGCUGAAUCACCUUCCAGCACACCCAAAAGAAAGGACAUGGCACUAGCACCCAAACUGCCUCCCAAGCAAACCCUUGCUGUGACCACAGAUCCUGGAAAAAAGGCCACUUCCAACACUGUGCCAUCUCUUUCUGACCAACAAGGAACUGUUGGGGAUAUUUCCAAUACGUCCACAUCGAAAAAACCAAGACAGACUGCGAAGGAAACAGAGAUGACACCUGAACCACCACAAGAUUGGUGGGACUACUUCCCAAUUUGCAAUCAAUAUGAGAUGGAUUUUGUGAACUCAAGCUCUUUAGGGAUUGAACACAUCAUCAUAACCAUAGUAGUAGUCUCCAUCAUCCUGCUCAUCACUCUUUGUCUGUGCUGUUGCUUUAAACACUGAACCAAAGUGUCUCCAUUUUGUUUACCUUUAACCAUUUUCUUUAUAUCUUUUCCUUUUUAAGAAUUUUGUCUGUAGAGCAUAGAUGAGAGGGCUCACUCACCAUAAGGCCAGCCUGGACUUAGUUCAGGUGGUUCGUAAAACAAUAAACAAGGGGGCUUAGUUCAGCUAUGCAAGACGUAAAGAUAAGCAUGUGCAGUAGCAUCUGAGGCUCUUUCCUUUCUUUGUGUUUUUGAAAAAUAUACAAGGCUUGUAAGUACGCAAUAAACCUGUCUCACUCUCUAGCUACAU